UCGGAGGCUAUUACGGCCAAAAAAGGGGGUAUUUCGUUAGUUGAAGUAAUAUAAAUUUAAAAGUAGUUAUAACUUAGUUCGGAAGUUUUAAAAGCGGUUCGAGUCCGCUUGCGACUAAAAUAUCUAACCCCAGUUUAUACUGGUAUUACAAAGGCAUGGGUAGCUCAGCUGGUAGAGCGCAGGAUUGAAAAUCCUGAGGUCGGCGGUUCGAUCCCGCUCCUAGGCAAAAUUAUCCAAUAGUUAUAAAACGAAUAACUAGGUUCUCGUACGGCGCAAAAGCGAAAAAUUUUCCGAGAAAGAAAAUAGAUACCUGGUGAAUUGAAACAUCUUAGUAGCCAGUGUUUACUAAAUUAGAGCCCGUAAGUAGUGGCGAGCGAACGUGGGAAUGAAACAUAAACUAGUUGGAAUGCUAGACCAAGGGGGGUAAUAGUCCUUGUGAAUAAAAAUAAGUAAAACAUUUGUUUGAAUAAAGGGGUACCACCCUCUAAAUUAAUAUGCGAGUUUCCGAUAGUGUACUAGUACUGUGAAGGAAAGUUGAAAAACAACCCCGAAGGGAGUGAAAAGAGUUGAAAUUUUAUAAUUUUCAAUUAUGGUAGUGUAUCUUUUGUAUAAUAGGCUAACAACUUAAUAUGCAUAGCAAGCGUAAUGCAAAGUACGCGUAGCGAAAGCGAGUUUGAAUAAAAGCGUUAGUUAUGUGUGUUAAACCCGAAACCAAGUGAUCUAGUCAUGAGCAAGUCGAAGGUAAUCUGAAGGACUGAACCCUAGUGUGUUGCAAAAUACAGGGAUGACUCGUGACUAGGAGUGAAAGGCUAAUCAAACUUGGAAAUAGCUGGUUUUCUGCGAAAUCUAUUUAAGUAGAGCGUUAUUAUUAAAAGGGGUAGAGCUCUGGACUCUAGAUGGGGGCGAAAGCCUUACUGAUAGGGUUUAAACUUCGAAUACUAAAAUAGCAGACAGACUGCGGGUGAUAAGAUCCGUAGUCAAGAGGGACACAGCCCAGACUAUAGAAUAAAGUUCGUAAUGAGUGUUAAUAUGAAGAUGGUUACUACAAUGACAACCCUAAUGAUGGGCUUAGAAGCAGCCAUUCAUUUAAGAAAUCGUUAAAGAUCAUGGGAAUAGUUACUAACUGUCGAAGAUUAUGAGAUGAACCUCAGCUGAAUUCAUAGGAAUGGUAGCAGAAUGUUUGUAAUGAUUAGAAGCCUUCUCGAAAGAAUUGGUGGAUUAUUGCAAAGUAACAAUGUUAGCAUGAGUAACUAAAAAUAUUGAAAACAAUAUCACCGUAAGCCUAAGGUUUGCUACGAAAAGAUAAACUGCGUGGCGUGAUCCGGUUCCUAAGAGAGAGCUCGAAAGAGUUCCUCGAUGGUCGCUUGAACCGAAAACGGUUAGGGCUAGAAAAUUAUAUAACCGUACUAAACCACUACAGGGAGGCGCGUUUAAUACACUAAGGUGAUUGGGAUAACAACAUUUAAGGAACUCGGCAAAAUGACUCUGUAACUUCGGGAGGAGGAGGGUUUUCUAUAGGAAAACAAAAAAAACAAGGGAGGAGCGACUGUUUAUUAAAAACACAGAACUCUGCAAAAUAGCAAUAUGAUGUAUAGGGUUUGACACCUGCCCGGUGCCAUUGAGCAAAAACAAGGUGUGAAAGCACCGAGUAUAAGCUUCGGUAAACGGCGGCUGUAACUCUGACGGUCCUAAGGUAGCGAAAUUCCUUGGCGGGUAAGUUCCGUCCUGCAUGAAUGGUGUAACGACUCCUCUACUGUCUCAAGUGUUGACCCAGUGAAAUUGAAUUGCCUGUGAAGAUGCAGGCAUUAUGUGGCUAGACGGAAAGACCCUGUGCACCUUUACUAUAACCUUGCAGCGCCUUACGCAUACGUAUGUUCAGAAUAAGUGGGAGCUUGUUCAAAUAAGCAUCAGUGAGAUACCACUCGUAUGUAUGCUUAAGGUAAUUUGUAAGGUUGGUAGUUUGGCUGGGGUGGCCGCCUCCUAAAGAGUAACGGGGGUGUGCAAUAGUAAGCUCAAUUCGAUAUUUCGAAGUAAGAGUAUAAUGGCAUAAGCUUGCUUGACUGGAAG
rnacentral:sRNA from 1 species